rnacentral:rRNA from 1 species
AGCGAACGUUAGCGGCGGGCCUAACACAUGCAAGUCGAGCGAGAAAGGGGCUUCGGCCCUGAGUAAAGCGGCGGACGGGUGAGUAACACGUAGGUAAUCUUCCCUUGAGCGGGGGACAACGGUCCGAAAGGACCGCUAAUACCGCAUACGUUUCCAGGGACCUCGGUCUUUGGAAGGAAAGCUAGGUAGCAAUAUCUGGCACUCGAGGAGGAGCCUGCGUCGCAUCAGCUAGUUGGUGAGGUAAUGGCUCACCAAGGCGAAGACGCGUAGCUGGUCUGAGAGGAUGAUCAGCCACACUGGGACUGAGACACGGCCCAGACUCCUACGGGAGGCAG